GUUCACGUUACGGCAGCCACGCACGGCUCUCAAGCCGUAAAACGCCAGCCAGCAAUAAUAAUAUCCCAACAACAAUUGUAACACUUGCCACAACAAUAGCAACAAGAGUUAUUUCCCAGACUCGGCAUACGGCAAAUAGUCGCGCAGCGCGUUUCCGAGAUUUAUUUUUGGCAAUCGAGCCGCCAAAAGUUCAAGUCGCAAGUUCAAAACAAAAGGCGGCUUACGCACGUGUGUGCGUGUGUGUGUGUGCUUGUGCGCGUUUGUGUGAGUAUGUGUGGGGCGCAUAUCCUUGCUUAUCCUUGAAAACGCAUUUGUGAGCACGAAAAUAUACUGUGCAUAUUAAAGGCAGCAACAAGGCGUGAAAUUCGUCCUGUGUCACCAUCUCUCUGUGUGUCUCUGUGGGUCUAUCACAAGAGCAGCAGCUUAAAAUGUUGCUCAGCAAAUUGUCAGCGCAACUGUGAACGCAACUAAAAAGUUGGCACCAACAAGCAAAAAUAUAUGCAACAAAUAUAAAAGAAAAUAAAAGUGAAAGCGCCUGCACCGGAAACGGAAGCUGGCAGCCAGGCAGGCAGUAGCGGGACCAGAAGCCAGGCACACAUCACAUCACAAGUGGAAAAGCGGCAACUGCCAUGUGCUGUAGCUGCAUUGUUGCUUUGUUAGCACUUUGACCCAAAUCGCAUGCAACGCGCGUGUGUCUCUGUGUGUGAGUGUGUGCGUGUGUUCGAGUCAGUUAGAGUGUUUUCAAUGUAUGACCGAUAAGCGGACCGGUCUCAAUGCCGUGACAAAGUUCCGUGUGAACAACAGAUAAAAGCAAAAAGAAGAAAAUUAUCAAAAGGAUACCUUUGCAGAUAAACACAAAUCUGUUAUUUAUACUUGCCGCGCGUAUGUCCAAAGUUCGCCUGUCAACGGUACUUAAGUGCAUCUCUGUUGCCACAGCUGUCACAUUUCAGACUUUGGAUUCAGGAUACAGUCAGCACUCCUCUGGCAGCUUUACACAUCAGUUUAAAGGAAGAAACUGUCGACUUUGCAAGGGAAUGCCUUGACUACAUGGGACAGACAGUGCUUAAUGAGAGAGCAGCACAAACAACUUACAAUUCCCAUGGCGGAAGACGGAAAAAGAUGCUUGUUGGAAAAGACAUUACAUUAAAAGUAAUUCAUCAUCGACUUGACGCGUGACAUGUUGUUGUUGUUGUUGGAAAAACAAAGAGGCAAAAGCAAAAACAGCAA